UGUGCAGCCAUAGUUGAGAAGCACUGAGUCAGAAGAACGAGUCCUUUCCUCUUCCAGCCCUAAGUUGAUGCCAGAGGCUGUGUUUUUACCUGGGGUGGUGGAAGGGGGCAGCAGAGGCAGCUCCUCCUCACCCUGACCAGCUGCAGUGGCAACAGCUCAGCUGGAUGUAAAUGCAGCCUGCUGGGCUGGGCUGGGCUCCCAGCACUGAUUUCAGGGGCCCCUUUGCAACCCACUCUUGCCUGUCCCUUCCCCACCCCACCCUGUGCUGUUGCAGGAUGAUGCCUCUAGGGCCUGCCUGGGUAGGGUGAGAAAACACUGAUGGAGGCAGCUUUUCAUGGCAGCCUGGUGGGGUACUAGAGUGGGCCUGGUGGCUAUGCGAGAGUUGAGGGCAGCUGAGUGGGCAGGGCUAUCAGAGUCCUUUUCCCUCCCGAUGCUGAGAUUCAGGGCUCCUGGCGAGAGCCCCUUGCAGCCCAUGGUGGCAGCAUGGCAGCUUAUCUGGGGAGCAGCCAUAGGAGCCUCUAUAAAAAUCUAGGUCUGACUCUGCCUCCAUCAGUUCCAGGAAAGGGAGUCGGGUCUGAGGAUGCAUGGGGACAGGCACAGACCCCAGCCUCAGCUGGUGCCACUGAAUUUUGGCAAGACACUUACAAACCUGAAAGGUUAAGGCCUUUCUCUUGAACUUUGAGACCCAGCAGCCAUUUGAUGCUGGGGAGCCCCGAGUCUUCCCAGCCACUCUAAGAGCAGGAGAAGCAAGAGUGGGCUGGGGGCCGGGGUUGGGAGGGGAGGGUGAGCAUCUGAGCCACAGUGUGAGGGGACCUCUGAACUGCACCCUCCCCUGCCACGGGCCUGGGGCCUACCUCUUUUCUUCCUGCACAUCAGUGCCUUUCUGGUAGGGACUCAGCCUGGCACUGAAUAACACACCGACUGGGGGCCCCAGGGUGGCUGAUAAGGGCACCUUGGCCUUCUUAGCCUGCUUCCCAAGCUAUUCUCAUCAGUGGCCUGACUGCAAGGGCUCCCCCAGGGAAAACAGAAGCCGCUGCUAGGAUGAUAAGGAUAAAACAUAAUUAACAUGGCCUAAUUAGCCAGCAGGCGGCUGCUCCUGGGGCCCAGCUGCCUGUCCUGCUCUCUCUGCCUUAUCCCAGCCCCUUGGUUGACGGUCGCCUCAGAGAAGCCCUGGAUGAGGCUGAAGACACAUCUAACAAGGAGGACACAGCACAGCACAAAUGCACACCACCACAGGACACAACCCGAUGACAGCAGACAAAGAGAGGCCGUACUCGGUCUUUGCUGGCGCAGGCGAAACAGAGCUGUCUGCAGUGGAAGGAGCAAGCUCAGGGGCUUGUCCACUGGCCCCAGCGGCGGGAGCAGGAGAGCCCAGGGCUGCAAAAACAUCCUUUGCAAGGGUUCCAAAUGGAGAACGUGCAAUGAAAGGAAAGGCACCAGCUGAUGGCGCAGGGUGGUGCAGCUGCUGGGUCCCUGGGCUGGAGCAGAGCCCAAACCUCAGCAAGGUGGA
rnacentral:lncRNA from 10 species